GUGCUCACUUUGGUGGCACAUACAAUAAAAUUGGAAAGAUACAGAGAUUAGCAUGACCCCCUGCACAAAGAUGACACACGCAUUCAUGAAACUGUCCAUGAAAAA
rnacentral:snRNA from 1 species